GUCACACCACACAAUCGCGAGUACACAACCGCAAGCACCCAAACACACAAACACACGCCACGUCGCUAUGCCCAUUACAUUCUUGCCUCUCACCUCCCCUGUUGGAAAGCCUUACGUCCCUAAGCGUGAUCACGUCCACCAGUCCAAUGACGUUGCUUCCGAAGGGGCUUUUACUGCUGUGAUUGAUCCCAAAUCAACACGAUCUGACUCUGAAGCCUCCGAUUUGAACGCGCCUACUCAGUUCCGGGCAAGAACCGAAUCCAGCUGAACAGUGCUAAACAUCUUGACUGAUACUAUAGAUUAUUUAUUACCGAUUUCACUUGUGUUG
rnacentral:misc_RNA from 1 species